rnacentral:lncRNA from 1 species
CAAAAAUGUUGAAAUAGUUCUGACAAUCCUGUUUCUCAUUGUUUCCAAACCUUAACUGUAAUUUUACAUUCUCUUAACAGUAGAUUUGUAGCCACAGAAGAAGAGGAUACCACCUGGUGUUUUGCUUCCAGAACAGUUUCUAAAGUCUCAUUUUGCCAUUCUGGGACAUCAUUCUACAGUGUGGAAAGAAAGAAAAAAGACUGGGAAACAAAAGCAUUGCAUUUCUGCACUAGAUGGUGGGAUGGUGAGAUGCUCAUAAAAAGUCUGAACAUCUAUUGACCCUAUGAUCCAAAAUCUGCAAACAGUCUAUUCCAGUCAUGAUGAGAGGCGAAUUAAUUCUGUAGACAGCGGAUUACAAUUCCAGUUUAUUUUGACUGACAGACUAGAAAACACUCGAACUGGAAAACUGCUGACUAAAAUGUAGACAACUGCCAACUACACAUUAAAGUUUCAGAUGCAAAAAUCUGCUUACUAGAGCUGGG